GUGAGUCAGCUCCCAAAGCGCCCAACUAUUCUGGGACAUAGGGAGUAUUGUGUUUUGCUUGCAUACUUUGUUGUUACAACACUUCUGUACCAUACCAAUUCGGUCUCCUUAAAUUGUUCUUGAGUUUAUUUCUAGGGUUUAAUUGCAGCUUUCAAAAAACCCUAGAAUCUGUUCUGUUGAUCAACAAUGUCGGACUACUUACCCAAGGGAGUGAUGAUGGAUAUUCUGGCAAGACUACCGGUUAAAACUCUUCUGCAAAUCAGGUUACUUCUUUAACCUCAGUGAGAGAUUUUAGCCAAAGAGGUGGGUGCAGAGUGUGUGGAAUUUACCAGCUUCCAUUUUCUCCUCUCAGGGCCAGUAGCAAUUUCCUUGAUCUUCUUCGGAUCCUUCAAUCUCUGGAAUUUUUUGUCUGGCAUUCCUGGAUGGGGUUCGCUUUAGUUUGCGGCAUGAUAAGCCCUGGUUAUUUGUGCUGGUUCUUUUGUCUUCGGCAGGGAUCUAAUUUUAUUUUGCUUUUGAUACGAUGAUGGAGCAUUGUAUCUUUUUAUGGUGCUCUGUUUCUUUUGGUUCUGUAUAUGCCUUGUGCUCUGGUUGAUUUUUGUUCAUAGCUUCAAGGUUUUAUGUUGUUCUUUUGCUUGGUGGAUUUGGGGUUUUGUAGACAAGGCACAUCCUGGGGUAUGGCCAUUGAAACAUUUACAUUGAGUUGCCUUUGUUUACAGUUCAGGGAUUAUUGCCUAAGAAUCAUUCAUUCUCUAUGGAAAUUGAAAGUUUA